rnacentral:tRNA from 1 species
AGGAAUAUAGCUCAGUUGGUAGAGUGAGUGCCUUGCAUGCACGAAGUCCUGGGUUCAAUCCCCAGCACUGCAA